AGCGGCGGACGGGUGAGUAACACGUGGGUAACCUGCCUCAAAGUGGGGGAUAGCCUUCCGAAAGGAAGAUUAAUACCGCAUAACAUAAGAGAAUCGCAUGAUUUUCUUAUCAAAGAUUUAUUGCUUUGAGAUGGACCCGCGGCGCAUUAGCUAGUUGGUAAGGUAACGGCUUACCAAGGCAACGAUGCGUAGCCGACCUGAGAGGGUGAUCGGCCACAUUGGAACUGAGACACGGUCCAGACUCCUACGGGAGGCAGCAGUGGGGAAUAUUGCGCAAUGGGGGAAACCCUGACGCAGCAACGCCGCGUGGGUGAUGAAGGUCUUCGGAUUGUAAAGCCCUGUUUUCUGGGACGAUAAUGACGGUACCAGAGGAGGAAGCCACGGCUAACUACGUGCCAGCAGCCGCGGUAAUACGUAGGUGGCGAGCGUUGUCCGGAUUUACUGGGCGUAAAGGGUGCGUAGGCGGAUGUUUAAGUGGGAUGUGAAAUCCCCGGGCUUAACCUGGGGGCUGCAUUCCAAACUGGAUAUCUAGAGUGCAGGAGAGGAAAGCGGAAUUCCUAGUGUAGCGGUGAAAUGCGUAGAGAUUAGGAAGAACACCAGUGGCGAAGGCGGCUUUCUGGACUGUAACUGACGCUGAGGCACGAAAGCGUGGGUAGCAAACAGGAUUAGAUACCCUGGUAGUCCACGCCGUAAACGAUGGAUACUAGGUGUA
rnacentral:rRNA from 1 species